GAGGCUAUAGCUCAGUGUUAGAGUGUGCACUUAGCAUGCAUGAGGUCCUGGGUUCAAUCCCCCAGUACCUCCG
rnacentral:tRNA from 1 species